AAACAUCCAAACCUACACUGUGACCUUCGUUGUGUGCAACUCAAAAUUGAACAAUUUCCAAAGCGUAUUAUGUAAUUUGAUCAAAUCAGUUCAUAAAAGUGUCACACAUAAAUGACUAAUUUAAUGAUCAAGGUAUUUUCCAAUAACUCUAAAAUCAACAACACGCCUCUGAAUAUCCCCUCAGUUGUAAACUAGAAGGCAACAGCGCACGUAUCUCCUCAGUUUAAACUCUUAAACUGUACCAUUAUUGUGACACGUUUACAUGUAGAUAUUUGUCCACAAGCUUUUGUUUACCAUAGGCUGCAUGUCAGUCACACAAAAUGUUUUCAUGCCCAGGUCAUGUAACUUGGAAUGGAAAAUACAAACAGUGAAAGAAUGUAAAACAUUUACUGAAAUUGAGGAAGCACUUUUUUUAGAUAACAGAUCCAGGAAUACAUGGAUUUCUUUUACUGAAAAAUACCAGUGCAUUGUAAAAGCGUAAUCUUCCCAACUCUGUUGCUAUGUCACUUUCACUUUUACUUUGCUGUCAAGCCAAGGGAAGUCCCAAGUUGCUGGUAUCAUUUUUGUAAGGUUGGCAUUGUUGUUGUUUUUUAUUCUCCACAACAGAUAUUAGUCACCCCACAGAGAUUGAACAAAAGCUAAAACCAUAAAUGCAUGACAGUGACUCAGUUUUCUAUUCAUUUAGUACACUGGAUGAGAUAACUGCUGUAAAUUCUGUAUUUCCUCCAUCCCUCUUCUUUAACUGCUGAGUCCAGCGAGAUUAAUUUUGGCUGUGACCAACCCAGAAAUCCCAGUUCACCAUAACGUUCCCCCAGACGACCCCGGAGUCUCUUCUCAGUCAGCUGUGCUUGGUAGAUCUCCAACUGGAGGUCCCAGAGGGCUUCCUAAUCAGGUGUCUGAACUACCUCUCAUGGUCAGUACCCAGAGUUCAUGACCAUCGAUGAAGGUAUGGAUGUAGACCAGCUAGUAAACAGAAAACUUUGCAUUCUGACUCAGCUCCUCGUUCACUGCUACAGUCCACUAUAGCGACUACAUUACUGCUCGUGAAUAAGACUCCUAAAUACUUAAACUCCUCCACCUGAGGUUGAUACUCUCCCGUUGUUUAGAGGAAGCAUGUCAUUCUUGGACAUCACAGAACCACUGCCUGAGAAUUGGAGGAGCUGAUUUGCAUACCAAGUGCUUCACAUGUGGCUGCAAACUGCUCCAGUUAGUGCUGGAGGCAUCCAAGUAAUGGUGAAAAAGCCAAAAACAUCACCUUCCAGCCCUCACACACAACAUCCUGCUGAUCUCAGUUGGCCUUGAUACCCUGUUCAUGAAAAUCACAAACCGGAGUUGAGACAAGACACAACCAUGAUGUCCAACGCUCUCAUUGCACAACUUACAGACACAGCUCUUAUUGCAGGUGUAGAGAAAUGAAGUGGUCCCAGCAUCCCAUACUCCCACAGAACAUCUCAAAGACAUGUAGAGGGGAUUGGUGAACUCUGAAACCCCUCAGUCGUCUGUGAGAGGUGAAAAUCUAGUCCAAGACUGAAUCCACAUCGUUCCUCCUCAGUCUGAGGUUUUGCUACCAGCAGGAGUCUCCCAUCCUGCACCUUCUCAAAGACUUUCAGUGAGAGAAGUGAUACUCUGAUUGUCAACACACUCUCCAGUUUUCUGAUUUAAAGAGAAUGUUUCCUUGUAAGCAAAUGUUUUAAAUGUUGUUAGUUACAAUCAAGGCAGUGACCGAACAUCGCUUUUCAUGUUCUGUUACAGAAAUAAACAGAUUUACACAAAUAUUACUUUCAGAACAAUCUAAUAUCAUUUACAUAAUGACUAGCAUCCAUAAAGGAGUGCAAAGUAAAUUGACAAGUUAGCUAAGAAUGUUAAAUGUAUUUUGACAGAUAAUCUUCUGAUAAUAUCAGUUAUUCAGUUGGAAUAUAGAAAACAUGGAUUUUUCGCAGUCAAUGAUAAAAAUGAAUAUUUUAUAAUGUAUUAUAUAUUUAGACUUGGUGAGGUCAGCUUUGUUUCUGCUUUUAUUUUUAUAUUUGUGUGCUCAUUUUUAAACAGAUGGUUCAUGAUUUGCUGACUUAACAGUAAAUUCAGACCCUCAGAACCAAACUUGUCUUUGGAUGUUGCGUUUGAUUGCAUGACAUUGAAAGGUGAAUCCGCAUUUUGAUAUCCCCCAACUUCACUUACUCACCCAUCUGUCAGCACAAUUAACCGUAGCAGGACUUAAAUACAUGAAUAAAUAUGCUGCAACAUUUGUGAAUUUUACAACCAUGGUGUAAUCAGUCCGUACAGAGAGGCAGAUCUGACAAAAGGCAUCUUGCUGUUAUUAACUAAAAGGAAUUAAACAUAACAAAGAUGUAUUUCCACAGCAGAAUCAAAAGUAUGCAUUUAUCAGAACAGUGUAGGUCUGUUUAACUGGUUUCUUCUGAAAUAUGAGUGUUUUGAUAGCAUAAACAUGUUGUACUGCGUUCGAUAUGACGGGAUCACUUCCCUGUUUGCAGUCGCACUGCUGACAUUGAAAUUAGUUUUGAAACACAAACCAUAAAGCAGGAGAAGUGAGAGUUGUUUGGUGUUUUAAACCCCAUCUUACCUCAUUAGGCAGUUGAUUUUAUUCUGUUUUGCUUAUACAGUGGCAAGGUUUACUUCUUCCAGAUAAGCAGCUCUUAAAAAUGAUACCUUUAAAUUCAAAAAGUAGAAAACUCCUUUUGAAUUUGGCCUGUUUAUUGUUUUUUCCACAGUGACUUGUGUUGUAACUUGUCAGUCCAUGCAGGUAGCUGUAGCUUCAACAAGGCUUAGUUGCGUAAAAUAUAAAGUGUAAAAUCUAGAUCUAUUUCAAACAUACAUGGACACUGAUUAUGGCAUAGGUCUGAGCCUUAAAGGUUCAAUAUAAACUCACCGAGGAUCAGUAUCGCUGAUGCUUAUCGUGACUGAAACACCAGGGUUCCACAAGGAAGCAACACCCACAGCAUUAUCUCAUGUAGAGGUUUGUCACAUAUGCAGGUGGGAGCACAUGCAUAUUCAUGGUUCAUCAGAGCAUCGCAUGUUGAAUUUAAAUGGGGAAAAUUGAUUCAGUGUUUGUGCAUCUUGCAGAAACCUUUCCUCCUAAGUAUAGAUGUUUGUUUAUGUAAUGUGUGCUCAUUGAGAAGGUUUGUUGCAUAAAUCAUCUCCAUCUAAUUCUUUCUUUAUAUAGCUUAGUCGGUUCACUAAGUAGAAAUUGUUUUUAACAAAUUAUUUGAUUUCUGAUUUUUUACGCAAAGCAAAAUGUUUUCUGAAAGGAGCAGACUGUACAUUUUAUUACAUACAAGAACAUUCAAACAGCUAAUGUAGUGAUAAAUCAUUUAGUGUUGUAAGCCACAUUUAUAGAAUCUAUGAGUAUGUUUAAUUGCAGUGUUCAUGUUUCAGAGGGAAAGGAUAUUUGUUUUCAUGUUAGAUCAUGAUGGUUUUUAUGAGGGAAACAAGCAUUAGCUUGACAGGACUCUUGUUUUCUUGUGUUUUACAACAUGAGAGCUCCUGUUUAAACUGAAGUUUGAUAAUAUAUGCAGGUGUGUCUUAAGCGUUUUUUCGUGAAAACAAUUGAGGCAUAUCUCCAGGGGAGCGUAUGCCCUGGGUUAGGUCAUACGUGUUCUGCUAAGAGGAAGUUGUAAUGUCAGAGCUGAAGAAUUCUGUGUUUAUUCAGAAUUUUGAGAGAAAAGAAGUAGUCCUUAAUUAAUAUCUUGAACCUUGAUUUAUUUUGAUGUACUUGAAUCGUGUUGCACUCAGUAUUUGUGCAUCUUUUCAUGUCCGUGGCCCGUUGUGACAUUAAAACAGCACCACGGGAAACAUCAGUAGCAGGAACGUUGCUCUGCGCACGUAGCUUCCUGCCAUCCAACAUCAAAUAAACCGCUCUGCUGUCAACUCCAGGAGGGUUUCUUGCGACGCGUAAUUGCUGUGGUUUUCUGUCUUUUUCAAUGUGACAUUUUGUUCUCAGACCGCCAGUGGAGACUUGAGUUAGACAGGUUUUAAUGUUCCCAAUCAAAUUAUGACAGGUUGUUGUUGUAAUUUGUGCUUGUUUAAAAUUACGCCUCAGGCAGCAGGGUCCUCCAGAGUGGUUUUAUUCGUAUUCUGGACAAUUUGCAAAAUCUUAUUUCCAAGAACAUUUGUCCUGAGUUACACUUCAUGUAAGGAUCUGUUACUGAACUGUAGAAAUCAGGGUGUCCGCGGGGUUGUAAAAGGUAGUAAAUGAAAUUUACCAAAAUUAAGGCCAUUAAAAAGUAAUAUUUGUCAUCUGAGGAGGUAUUAAAUUUUCUAACUACUAUACAAUUAUUCUCCUCUUUUCAUUGCGUUAAGUGAAAGCCUAUAUCUCGUAAAAAAUCCUGUGAUUUUAUUAUGUACGAGUAGGACCUGUGUGAGGUGACGUCAGUCGGUUAAGAAUGGUAUGAACAGCAAUCUCACCCCGACCUGCGAGAGGCAGCACUGUGCCGCAAGGCAUCCAGCCUGCCGGAAUCCCACCAGAAGAAGAAGAAAGACGUCAGUCAGUGUGCGCCGCGGUCUGUUUCAGUGAAAAAACAAAACCCACGCUCAGCCGAUGCUCCCUUGCAGAUUGCAGCCGAGAUGGGGAAAUGUAAGUUUUCUGAACUGUGGUUUAAGGACGCUAGAUUUAGAGACUGGUUACGGCCAGUUGCUGCUAACACCAGAGAGGUGUAUUUCAAUAUGUGCAAAAAAACAAUAAAUAUCACCUGGAUGGGGGUGAAUGCUCUCCGGUCCCACAUGGCAUCCAGUGGCCACCAGUCCAGAAUUCACAGACACAGUGAGCAAUUGCCAAUUUCAAUGUUUUGCAAUACUACCUCGACACCGGCUUCAUCACCACAAACCUCCGCUCUCCCGCAACCACCUGCUGCUACCCUGCAACCACCUGCCGCUCCCCCUCAAGCCCCUGCCAGCGGUGGCACCUUCAGACAGCAGGCUCUCUGCUCCACGUCCACUCUGCAAGCAGAGGUUCUAUGGUGCCUGGAGACAGCAACAAAACACCACUCCUUCAAUUCCAACGAGGGGAUCGGAGAACUGUUCCACAAUAUGUUCCCGGAUUCUGAGAUUGCCAGAUCAUUUGCGUGUGGAAAGGACAAGUUACGUCGUUAAGUUUGGUUUGGCGCCAUACUUCAAAAACAAGCUCAUAACAAGUAUCAACAAAGCUCGGCCAUUCAUCCUAAUGUUUGACGAGAGUCUUAAUGUAUGCUCCAGAAAAAAACAGAUGGACAUACAUGUGCGUUUUCUGGAGGAUGGCUGUGUGACAUCACGGUUCUUUGGGUCGGAAUUCUUGGGACAUGCAAGGGCCGAAGACCUGCUGCAGCACAUCAAAGUAAGUAUAAUAGCCUAUAUUAUUGCUGACCUAUUGAAUACUCGAUUCUGACAGUUAAUAAGUUAAUUUGUUUAUGUUGUUGAGCACAUCUGUGUGUGUGUGAGCUUGCGUGUGUGUCUGUCUGUGUCUGUGAGAAUGAGAGAGAGAGAAAAAAAAUAUUUUAUUAUAAACAUCCAUAAUCCUUAUAAUAGCUAAACGGAUGAUAUUUACGUUUUUACAUUUUUAAAACCAAUUUUGAAUUUUAGUCAAAAAAUACAUGUACUGGAUGCAGGGGCGCAACUCCCUACUUUCUGAGGGGCAUGCAGACACAUUACAGCCGGCUUGUUUUUAUUUUUGUUUUUUUUUUAUGUUUAUGUGUAUAAAUCUUAUUUAUUCAUGGACUUAUAAAAUAUAAGUAUUUUUACAGACUUUUAUUUUAAGUUACAUAUUACAGCAGGUGAUCAGCUUAAUCAAAAACAAAAAAUAAUGCAUAAUAUCCUUAUUGGAUAUCAGUUACUGAUUGGACGCUGCAUCUGAUCAGACUUAUCAGAUGCAUCACAACUGCACUGUGGUAUUAUAUCCCAGUGAAGAACAUAUGUUCUUAACUUUUAUUUUUAAUCAUUAAAAUAAGCAUUUUAAUACACCCUUAAGACAAAAGAAAGUUUCCAUUUGAAGAAAGACAACUCUUAUUCGGCUAUUACUAUGUGGGAGGUCUGGACCAAUCACAAAUAGCUGUUAAAUACAGAAAAUGCCGACUCAGAAAUAAUUUUCCCCCCAUGGCUUUGGCGCCCCUCUAACGCAGCGCCCCUAUGCGCUGCAUAUAGUGCAUACCCACUUUUUGCGCCACUGACUGGAUGCUUAGCACACCCCCAUCUUAGGCCUACACAUUGGCAUUGUUCAUUCAAAGCAUUUGACCAUUUUCAUCGAUCUGUGAUCAUAUAUCAAUUUAGCCUAAUUUCCAUAAUAGAAGCUUUAAUAUUGGCAGAUUUAUUUAAUUUAAAAACUAUGACUGAUCUCAUUGCCCAAUGUAGCUCGGCAGAGCGAGGGGUCACAUGUUGUAGUUAAAGAAAUUGUUAUGCCAUAAUUGUAGGUCAUCUCAAUGUUUAAGCAUGUUUGCACACUAAAUGUAAUUUCUUUCGUUUUUUAAUUUUAACUUCUUUCCCUUUGUCCUUACAGGAAUGUGUCGCAAAGCUCAACAUGCGGAACCUGCUGUCAGUUGGGAUGGAUGGCCCAAAUGUGAAUUUCAGAUUUUUGGAUCUCCUUCAAAAGGAGCAUGGCAAACUUCACGGAGGUGCUGAGAUAAUCAGUGUUGGGAGCUGUGGACUUCAUACCCUCCACAAUGCCCUGAAAGCUGGCUUCACAGAAUGGUCUAUUGAAAAACUACUGAGAGCCAUGCAUUUCCUUUUUAACAAUGGUCCCGCCCGGAGAGAGGACUUCACAAACAUCACUAAAUCCACCAGCUUUCCACUGCCUUUCUGCGGCCACAGGUGGAUUGAGAAUGUUCCGGUGACAGAGAGAGCAGUAGAAGUGUGGCCAAAGCUUCAACUCUAUGUCAGACCUGCCAACCUGUACGCAUUUUGCAUAGCAGGUACGCAAUUUGACAUCAAAAUACGCUGGUACGCUCCGCCUCAUUAAACUACGCAAAAAGCUACAGACAUCUGUGAGUGCUGUUAGAAAUGUGGACAUGCAAUACUCAUGCAUGAUGCAGCAGUGUAGUGGUGCAAUUUCAACCAAUCAUCAUAGAGUAGCGGAGAAUAACGAGUCUGCCGAACCCUUGUUGGCCCGCUCUCUCCUGUCCUCUGCCUCCCUCCGCCUCUCUCCCCGUUCCCUGUGCCCCCACCCGCAGCAGCUGGUGGUUAAAAUGGUAAAAUGGUGUGUGUGUGUGUGUGUGUGUACGCGUGUGUGUACGUGUGUCUUUUGGCAAAUAUAUACUGUUAAUAACGUUACUUUCACGUUGAAAAUACGAUUUCAUAUCAGGGGAAUAAGCACCGAGAGUUUUUUUUUCCUAUCGACGUGUGUUUUUGUUUUUGUGUGCACGCGUGAGUGUACGUGUGUGUCUUUUGGCAAAUAUGUACUGUUAAUAACGUUACUUUCACGUUGAAAAUACGAUGUCAUAUCAGGGGAAUAAGCACCGAGAGUUUUUUUUUCCCUAUCGACAUGAGCGCGAGCUGUGUGUGUGUGUGUGUGUGCGUGCGUGCGUGUGUGUGCGUGCGUGUGUGUGAGAUUAAGUGGUACGCAAAAUAUUUCGCCAAGGUUGGCAGGUCUGCUAUGUGGAUGCUGCACUUAAGAAGAAGGUCCAAAAACCAAGCUCGGCCUCUUUUGACACCGUCGUGGCAGCAACAGGGGAUCCUCUCAUUGUACCAAAAAUACAAUUCUUCCUUGCCAUUGCAAGAAGCUUUAACCCCUUCCUAACCCAAUACCAAACGGAUGACCCAGUGUUGCCAUUUUUGGCCAAGGAUUUAACUGAGCUCUUGAUGGUAACUUAUUACUCUUUUUGUUACUUUUUGUUUAAUGUUGUUGUAGUGCUAUUUAAUUUAUUUGAUUUUUGAUUAACCUGUAUAUGACUUUGUUACUAACUAUUAGUUGUCUUUACCAGAGUUUACUGCGGCGGUUCAUUAAACGGGAAGUCCUGCAGGACCGCACCCCCCGGCAGCUGAUCCAAAUUGAGGCUGCUGAAGAGAGGAACUGGGUCUCCCCAAAAAAUGUGGACAUUAGCCUGGGUGCUGAAUCUGCAGUCAAGGUGAUGUCAUCAUUCAGCAGUACACAUCCCUCCUAUCUGUUGAGGGUAGAGAAGAGGAUUUCCAGUCCUUUGAGCCAUUUAAGCAGCGCCUGGAUGUCUUCCUGUCUAUGAAACUACGCAAGUCCCAUCCUGAACUGCUUAGGUUCUGCCUAAGCGUUCUCCUCCUGUCCCAUUGCCAGGGGACCGUAGAGAGGGGCUUUUCUGUGAAUAAGGAGGUAGAAACAUGCAACCUUCAUGACGAAUCCAUCGAAGGACUAAGGUUGAUCUGUGACGAGGUAAACAGCUGUGGUGGCAUUCUGAAAGUGCCUUUAACCAAGGAGCUCCUGGCCUCUGCUGCUUCAGCUCGGUCGAAGUACAGGCUCUACCUUGAGCAAGAAAGAAGGAAGAAAGAGAGUGCUGCUGAAGAGAAAAUCUGCGGAGGAUGAGCUUGAGGACCUCAGGAACAAGCGCCGGGUCCUCAGCAAUGUGACAGAGUCACUCCAAACAGAGGCAGACAAAUUGGCUGAGAUGGCUGAGGGAAAGGCAGGGACAAAGAUGGCAGAGCUCAUAACAAAAUCAAACACACUUCGCAGAAGAUUCAGGGAAAAAAAGGCUGAACUGCUAGAAAUGGACAAAGUAAUUGAGGAAAAGACCAUACAGUUAAGGCAUUUGUAAAACACACACACACACACACACACACGGAAGAAUGAAGCAGGAGGUAAACAGUGACAUGCAUGAAUCUGUUUGUGUUUCUGGCUCUAAUUUGUCACCACAUUCCCAGAUCUCUGGAGACUACACCUCAUUUAUAAUAAACCAGAUUUAUUUAUACAGCAUAUUAUUGUUUUUUUUUCCAGUGUAGUUGUAUAUGUUAAAGAAAUCUCUCUAUUAGUUCGGCUGCAGCAGGUCUCUUACGGUAUGUGGACUGUGCUGGUGUUUUUCUGAUGAGGGCGAGCCUGCUGUCUGGUUCUUUCAUAAUGCUCAAUAUGUUUUAUGGUGUUGCAUAUUCCACGUAUGCAGAGGUUAUGACUUAUUUCAGUCAGCUGAGAUAUAUUGCAUUCAUUGGUUUUUUGGGUCUGUCCCUCUCUUUUGGUUUGAAUCCAUGUGAUGUUUGACGGUGUUUCUAACUGAACUGUGCAAGUUUUCUGGAAAUCAUUUAAUUAAACAUCUGCCUUUAACCUUU